AUGGUCACCACCACGGUCGUCGUGACGGUCCUUGUCUUUGGGCUCGUCGUGCUCUGCAUGCUUGGCCGCCGUACCAGGCGCCACAGCGGGUACUCCAUCGCCAUGCGCGUCAUCUUCCAGGCAUGCUUCACGCUCUUCCUCCCCUUCAUGUCCUACAUCUUUUCCCAGACCAAGAGCAAGCCCGACACCAGCAACCAGCGGCGCACGGAGAUCGUCAUCCUCUGGAUGCUGCUCGUCGAGCUCCUCCGCAAGAAGGUCUCCGCGGGGAUGGCGCCAGCCGCUGAAGCCUUCACCCGCGGCAUCGGGUGCUAUAGCCUGUUGUACCCCAUGGAGGAGGUGGUGCGCAUGGCGUGGAUCGGCUACCUCAUCUACGCCUACGUUCAUGGCUUGGGCAUCAAACCCUUCUUCAUCAUCCUCUGGAUAUUUGGCGUCGCAACGCUUUGCAAGCGGGCCGUCUGCAUCCAUGUCGCCAAAGACUCCUUCGACCUCGCCAAGAAUACCGCCCUCGUCUCUGGCUACAUGGCGCAGCUCGUCCACGCGGGCCGACAACUGUCCAACGAAGACGACACACACCCACCGGGCACCCACAUCAUGAGGACUUGCAACUAUGUAGUCAUGGGAGAGGGCCGGCUCAAGAGAAAGGUGACGCCCUAUGGCUUCGAGAUCCAUGACCCAGAAGUGAAGAACGUUGGCCUUGAGAUCUGCGGCGAAGAAAGGGAGAACAUUGUCCCCGAAGGAGGCGGUCUAAAUGGCGACCUAGUGACCAACAAGUCCGAGUUGGUCCGGGUAUGUGACAUAUGGGGCUUCUCCGAGACAGAAGCCAUCUUCAAGUACGACAAGAGUAGGAAAUGGAAGUUGGAGAACAUUUGCUUCGCCCUCGCACUCUUCAAGCUACUCCGACGAAAGAUGGAGCACCUCCACAUGGCAGAGGUCAAGACCACACAAGCGCGUGAUCUCGUGCUCUGGGGCCUCCUCAGGCUCACGGGGGAUGAAGUGUUCGACGCCCGUCGGGCGUUCCAUGUGGUAGAGCUAGAGCUCAGGUUCAUGGAUGAGUACUACCAAGAUAUCAUCCCGCUGGCGUUGCCUAGGCCAGAGCUCUUUCUGGCCAACUUCGCCUUGUCCAUCGUCUUUGUCGUGUUCUAUGGCGUCACUGUGUUGCUCGUCACGAGCAAUGCCAACAUCAUCAUCGUAUUGGGCUCGCUGUUCAAGGGGCUCAUCGGUCUAUUCAUCGCCAUGCUGGUACACCACAAGUGCUUUCUGCACCAAGUGGCCUCCUUGGUUGUCACCGUGCGUACCACUUUUGACAUCAUCAUCACCUACCUCCUCAUGCUCGCCCUCCUCCUCGUCCAGACAUAUCAGUUGAUCCAUUACGUGAUCUCUGACUGGUUUCUAGUGUCCUUGAUCUGCAACUACGUCCGAAAAAAAAGCAUGCAGAGAUUGUUCCACCAUAGGCAAAUCAUCAAGAUCAUCUUGUGGGCGAAGCACCGUUUGUUCCCCAUCAUCAAGGUCCACCAGCUCAACAUUUUGAAGCUCAAUCCGCUUCACCUGCAUUCUCGGGUGUGGAUGCUCAUCUCUACCUUGCUCAACAGGCGUCUCGUCGGGUUCUCGGAUGCCAUCGUCACCAUUGAUGUCAAUCUGGCCAUUGUCAAGGUCUUGAAGAACAUCCUCGACCCUAACUCCGACAAGGACUUCAGCAACGGCAUAGGUGCAUUGGAGCAGCAUGAAUUCACUCAACUCAAAUGGGCGUGCAAGGACAAUAUGGAUGUCGCCACAGUGAUCGUGGUGUGGCACAUCGCAACGGCCCUAUUUGAGACGAGGAACCGACAGAAGCACCCAUUGCAGCCAGAAGGCCGGGCUGCCCUGAUGUUGUCAAGGUACUGCGCAUACCUCGUGGUAUACGAGCCAUGCCUCCUCCCAGACGACAAGACAUGGACGGAGAAAGUGUACAGGGACAUCAAGGCGGAACUCAACAGCUUCUUCCAGAGCUAUUGCACCACCAUGCACCGUCGUAAGCACCUGAUGAGGUUCUUCUCAACUAAAGAGAAGGAGAUGUCAACCAUGGAGACGGGCGUCAAGCUAGGGAAGCAACUAGAGGAAAGAGACACUAGUGCCGAUGGUGAUACAUUGCACGAGGACGAGAGGGUUUGGAAGAUGCUCCUUGACUUCUGGGCGGAGCUGCUCGUGUUCAUGGCUCGCAGGCCAUCGGGAGGACAAGAUGCACAUGCGUUGGCGUUGGGCAAUAGCGGUGAGUUCAUCACCCACAUCUGGGCUAUGCUCACCCACGCCGGCAUCCGUCUCUCCAAGAAUCACCAGGAGGACCAUGUUCCGUGGUGCCAUCCCGAUCCUGUUUGA
rnacentral:rRNA from 1 species